UACGUAGGGUGCGAGCGUUGUCCGGAUUUAUUGGGCGUAAAGAGCGUGUAGGCGGCUAGGUAGGUCCGUUGUGAAAACUCCAGGCUCAACCUGGAGACGCCACCUGAUACUGCUGUGGCUAGAGUCCGGUAGGGGAGCAUGGAAUUCCUGGUGUAGCGGUGAAAUGCGCAGAUAUCAGGAGGAACACCAGUGGCGAAGGCGGUGCUCUGGGCCGGAACUGACGCUGAGGAGCGAAAGCGUGGGGAGCAAACAGG
rnacentral:rRNA from 1 species